AUACUUACCUGGCAGGGAGGUUACCAUGAUCGCAGAGGUGUUUUUCCCAGGACAAAGCUGAUCCAUUGCAUACUGCAUUUGCUGACUCCUGAGAUAUCCCCAAAUGUGGAAAACUUGACUGUAAUUUGUGGUAGUGGGGAACUGCAUUUGCACUCUCCCCUA